rnacentral:lncRNA from 1 species
GGUAAAUGCUAUGCAAAAAAAAAAAAAAAAAAAAGUAGAAGAUGCUACAAUGGAGAAAAAAAGUAGGGGCUAGAGUUGGAGUGGAAAAGGGGUCAGGAAACAUUUUCCUAUGGAAAUGUUAACUGAGACCAGAAGGAUGAAUAGGACUUAGACAAAAAAAGCUAAAAGAGGGAUUGUUUAGAGGAAUGAAGUCCUAAAAGAAGGAGCUGGAGGUGCAAAGGCCCCCAAACAGGGAGGGGGCUUUGAGGAAUGAUCAGAAGCCUAGAGAGAGAAGGAGAAAAAUAGCAAAAAUCAGUCCCAGAGGGAGGGCAAGGCCAGAGCUGGCAGGGUGCUGUAGUCCACGCUAAUGACCUGGAGCCUUACCUUAAAUGCAAGGGAGAGUAACUCAAGGGACCAAAGCAGAGGAGUGGUAGGAAUGAGACUCAGUUUUGUUUUGUUUUUCCUAGGCAAGAGCUCUGCCACUGAGCUAUACUCCCAGCCUCAGAUAUGGAAUAUUUUUCAGCCAUAAAAGGAAUUAAAUUCUGAUAUAUGCAACAAAUUGUAUGAUAAAAAGGAAUACAUUUUGACACAUGUUGGACCGUGAAAACAUGCAAAGUGAAAGAAAGCAGACACAAAAGGACAUAUAUUGUAUGAUUCCACUUACGUGAAAUAGCUGGAAUAGGCAAAUUCACAAACACAAAAAGUAGAUUAGAGGUUACCAGGACCUGAGGGUAGAGAGGCAUGGGGAGUUCUUGCUUAAUUGUUCAGAGUUUCUGUUUAGAAUGAUGAAAACAUUUUGGAAAUAGUAAUGAUGGUUGCAC